GACGAACGCUGGCGGCGUGCUUAACACAUGCAAGUCGAACGGCAAGGCCCUGCUUUUUUGGGCUGCCCGAGUGGCGAACGGGUGAGUAACACGUGAGUAACCUGCCCUUCAUUUUGGUAUAACUUCAGGUAAGUGGGGCUAAUACCGGACAGGAGCCCCCGCAGCAUGGUAGGGGUUGGAAAGUUUCGGCGGUUGGGGAUGGACUCGCGGCUUAUCAGCUUGUUGGUGGGGUAGUGGCUUACCAAGGCUUUGACGGGUCGCCGGCCUGAGAGGGUGACCGGGCACAUUGGGACUGAGAUACGGCCCAGACUGCUACGGGAGACAGCAGUGGGAAAUAUUGCACAAUAGGCGGAAGCGUGAUGAAGCGACGUCGCGUGCGGGAUGACGGCCUUCGGGUAGUAAACCGCUUUCGCCUGAGACGAAGCGUGAGUGACGGUAAUGGGAAAAGAAGCACCGGCUAACUACGUG
rnacentral:rRNA from 1 species